rnacentral:misc_RNA from 1 species
UCCGAGUUGACCCCGGCAGUCUCUGAUGAGUCCCCGCCACUACGCGCUGGCAACAUCAGACGAGGGUUGCGCUCGUUGCGGGACUUAACCCAACAUCUCACGACACGAGCUGACGACAACCAUGCACCACCUGUACACCGACCUUACGGGGCACCCCUUUCCGGGUGUUACCGAUGUAUGUCAAGCCUUGGUAAGGUUCUUCGCGUUGCAUCGAAUUAAUCAGCAUGCUCCGCCGCUUGUGCGGGCCCCCGUCAAUUCCUUUGAGUUUUAGCCUUGCGGCCGUACUCCCCAGGCGGGGCGCUUAAUGCGUUAGCUGCGGCACAGAGACCGUGGAAGGCCCCCACACCUAGCGCCCACCGUUUACAGCGUGGACUAC